rnacentral:rRNA from 1 species
UACACGCUGUGACUAGCAUAUCAAUAAGCGGAGGAAAAGAAACUAACAAGGAUUCCCCUAGUAACGGCGAGUGAAGCGGGAAGAGCUCAAAUUUGAAAUCUUAAAGGGUUUCCCUUUACGAAUUGUAGUUUAAAGAAGUGUUUUCUGUUGAGGUUUUGGUAAAAGUUCUUUGGAAUAGGACAUCAUAGAGGGUGAGAAUCCCGUAUUUGACCUUUACUUUCAACUUUGUGAUACACUUUCAAAGAGUCGGAUUGUUUGGGAAUGCAGUCCAAAAUGGGUGGUAAAUUUCAUCUAAAGCUAAAUAUUGGCGAGAGACCGAUAGCGAACAAGUACCGUGAGGGAAAGAUGAAAAGAACUUUGAAAAGAGAGUUAAACAGUACGUGAAAUUGUCAAAAGGGAAGCGUUUGACACCAGUGUUGUUUUUCUGAAAAUCAAUUAAAGAACUGUUUAUGCUAAGUUGUUUAGACUUUAUCAGCUAUCUGUUUAGUUUUGAGCUUUUCUUUAAUGCACUUUUCAGUUAACAAGUCAACAUCAAUUUCUUUUGCUGUAAAAAAGCUUGAGGAAGGUGGCUUGAGAUUCGUCUUAAGUGUUUAUAGCCUCUUGCCUAUGCAGUCGGAGAGAUUGAGGUCUGCAGUGUAGAUCCUUCGGGGCUAAAUGCAUUUGUGCUAAGUUAUAGCAUUUUAUAGACAACUUGUUGACUAUGAUUUGUCUUGUAGCUUACUCGCUUAUGUUAUUUUACCUACGCUUAGGAUGUUGAUAUGCAUGACUGAUAU